AUGAACGCUGGCGGCGUGCCUAAUACAUGCAAGUCGAGCGAACGGACGAGAAGCUUGCUUCUCUGAUGUUAGCGGCGGACGGGUGAGUAACACGUGGAUAACCUACCUAUAAGACUGGGAUAACUUCGGGAAACCGGAGCUAAUACCGGAUGAUAUUUUGAACCGCAUGGUUCAAAAGUGAAAGACGGUCUUGCUGUCACUUAUAGAUGGAUCCGCGCUGCAUUAGCUAGUUGGUAAGGUAACGGCUUACCAAGGCAACGAUGCAUAGCCGACCUGAGACGGUGAUCGGCCACACUGGAACUGAGACACGGUCCAGACUCCUACGGGAGGCAGCAGUAGGGAAUCUUCCGCAAUGGGCGAAAGCCUGACGGAGCAACGCCGCGUGAGUGAUGAAGGUCUUCGGAUCGUAAAACUCUGUUAUUAGGGAAGAACAUAUGUGUAAGUAACUGUGCACAUCUUGACGGUACCUAAUCAGAAAGCCACGGCUAACUACGUG
rnacentral:rRNA from 1 species